AAUUGGAGGGCAAGUCUGGUGCCAGCAGCCGCGGUAAUUCCAGCUCCAAUAGCGUAUAUUAAAGUUGUUGCAGUUAAAAAGCUCGUAGUUGAAUUUCGGGAUUGACGUGAUGGUCGUGCCUUACGGGGUAUGAACUGUUGCUGUUGAUUUCUCACCUUCUGGAGAAACUUGAUGUCCUUAAUUGGGUGUCUUGCGGAUCCAGGACCUUUACCUUGAAAAAAUUAGAGUGUUUAAAGCAGGCAUUUUGCUCGAAUACAUUAGCAUGGAAUAAUAGAAUAGGACGGCAUGGUUCUAUUUUGUUGGUUUCUAGGAUCACCGUAAUGAUUAAUAGGGAUAGUUGGGGGCAUUAGUACUCAAUUGUCAGAGGUGAAAUUCUUGGAUUUAUUGAAGACUAACUACUGCGAAAGCAUUUGCCAAGGAUGUUUUCAUUAAUCAAGAACGAAAGUUAGGGGAUCGAAGACGAUCAGAUACCGUCGUAGUCUUAACCAUAAACUAUGCCGACUAGGAAUCAGACGAUGUUAAUUUUUUAAUGACUCGUUUGGCACCUUACGGGAAACCAAAGUGU
rnacentral:rRNA from 1 species